ACCUGUCCAAGAAAACAAAAUACACCCACAAAAGCAAUGGGGGGAAUAAAAGGAAAAGUGCAAGGGUUUCCAGGAAAAAUUUCCGGCGGAAACAAAAAUCAAAGUCAUGGAAAUUUAUAGUUUUAAGAAACACACGCAGCAAAUAUGGGUAACAAAUAAGAGAAACAGCAACAAAAAUGAAAAUUACUACACAAGUAAAUUAAAAACAAAGGAAAAGAAACACGCGUGAAAAGGGAAACAGAGAAAGUGAAAAUGACAAGAAAAUAAUAUGAAAAACAAUGAAAGUGAGCGGGUAAAUAUUCCGAAAGUACCGGGUUGGUCGAAAAUGAGUGGGGAAAAAACUGUCCAAAAGAAGCCCGCCGAAAAACUGCCCGGAACAGUGUCACGCGCGCGGCGCGUGGUCGUCGUCGGCGGCGCGUGAGCAGUCGUCGGCGGCGCGUGCGUCGGUUUCCGGCGACGAAACA
rnacentral:lncRNA from 1 species